CAAAGGCUUGGUCCUGACUUUAUCAUCAGCUCUAGCUCGAUUUACACAUGCAAGUCUCCGCAAACCCGUGAGAAUGCCCUCAAUCCCCCGCCCGGGGACGAGGAGCAGGCAUCAGGCCCAAAUUUUAGCCCAAGACGCCUUGCCACGCCACACCCCCAAGGGAACUCAGCAGUGAUAGAUAUUAAGCCAUAAGUGAAAACUUGACUUAGUUAGAGAUAAGAGGGCCGGUAAAACUCGUGCCAGCCACCGCGGUUAUACGAGAGGCCCCAGUUGAUGAGCACGGCGUAAAGGGUGGUUAAGGUUUAAUUUAAAUAAAGCCAAAAGACUUCUUGGCCGUCAUACGCCCCUGAACGUCUGAAGCCCAAAUACGAAGGUAGCUUUAAUCUUCGCCCACCUGACCCCACGAAAACUGAGAAACAAACUGGGAUUAGAUACCCCACUAUGCUCAACCGUAAACUUAGACGUUUUUUCACAAUAAACGUCCGCCAGGGUACUACGAGCACUAGCUUAAAACCCAAAGGACUUGGCGGUGCCUUAGACCCCCCUAGAGGAGCCUGUUCUAGAACCGAUAACCCCCGUUAAACCUCACCACUUCUGGUCAUCCCCGCCUAUAUACCGCCGUCGUCAGCUUACCCUGUGAAGGACUAAUAGUAAGCAAAGUGGACAUAAUCCAAAACGUCAGGUCGAGGUGUAGCGAACGAAGUGGGAAGAAAUGGGCUACAUUUUCUUUUACAAGAAUAACACGGACAACACUAUGAAAACUAGUGCUCAAAGGAGGAUUUAGUAGUAAAAAGGAAAUAGAGUGUCCUUUUGAACCCGGCUCUGAGGCGCGUACACACCGCCCGUCACUCUCCCCGCCAGAUAGCGAUACAAUGUUAAUAACACGAAAGCAUAAACAAGGGGAGGCAAGUCGUAACAUGGUAAGUGUACCGGAAGGUGCACUUGGAUCAAAU
rnacentral:ncRNA from 1 species